CCUACGGUAGGCAGCAGUGGGGAAUAUUGCACAAUGGGGGAAACCCUGAUGCAGCGACGCCGCGUGAGCGAUGAAGUAUUUCGGUAUGUAAAGCUCUAUCAGCAGGGACGAAGGUGACAGUACCUAACAAAUAGGCCACUGCUAACUACGUGACAGCAGCCGCUGUAAUACGUAGGGGGCGCGAGUUCUCCGGAUGUGCUGGGUGUAGUGUGAGCGUAGACGGUUCUGCAAGUCUGAAGUGAAGGCCGGUGGCUUAACAGCGGACUGGCUUGGGAGACUGUGGAACUGGAGUGCUGGAGAGGCAAGUGGAAUUCCUAGUGUAGCGGUGAAAUGCGUAGAUAUGAGGAGGAACACCAGUGGCGAAGGCGGCUCGCUGGACAGUAACUGACGCUGAGGCUCGAAAGCGUGGGGAGCAAACAGGAUUAGAUACCCCGGUAGUC
rnacentral:rRNA from 1 species